CCUACGGGAGGCAGCAGUGGGGGAUAUUGCACAAUGGGGGGAACCCUGAUGCAGCGACGCCGCGUGGGUGAAGGAGCGUUUCGGCGCGUAAAGCCCUAUCGGCAGGGAAGAAGGAGGACGGUACCUGACUAAGAAGCCCCGGCUAAAUACGUGCCAGCAGCCGCGGUAAUACGUAGGGGGCAAGCGUUAUCCGGAUUUACUGGGUGUAAAGGGGGCGCAGACGGCAGCGCAAGCCAGGAGUGAAAGCCCGGGGCCCAACCCCGGGACUGCUGUUGAAACUGGGCGGCUUGAGUGCAGGAGGGGCAGGCGGAAUUCGUGGUGUAGCGGUGAAAUGCGUAGAUAUCAGGAGGAACACCGGUGGCGAAGGCGGCCUGCUGGACUGCGACUGACGUUGAGGCCCGAAAGCGUGGGGAGCGAACAGGAUUAGAUACCCGAGUAGUC
rnacentral:rRNA from 1 species